rnacentral:tRNA from 1 species
GGCUGUGGCUUAGUGGUAAAGCACUUACCUGGCACACAUGAGGCACUGGGUUCAAUUCUCAGCACCA